rnacentral:tRNA from 2 species
CGUUCUAGUAGCUUAAUCA